GAUGAACGCUAUCUGCAGGCUUAACACAUGCAAGUCGAGGGGUAACAUUGUAGCUUGCUACAGAUGACGACCGGCGCACGGGUGCGUAACGCGUAUAGAACCUACCUUUUACAGAGGGAUAGCCCAGAGAAAUUUGGAUUAACACCUCAUGGUAUUAUAAGAUGGCAUCAUCUAAUAAUUAAACAUUUAUGGGUAAAAGAUGGCUAUGCGUUCUAUUAGCUAGAUGGUAAGGUAACGGCUUACCAUGGCAACGAUAGAUAGGGGUCCUGAGAGGGAGAUCCCCCACACUGGUACUGAGACACGGACCAGACUCCUACGGGAGGCAGCAGUGAGGAAUAUUGGACAAUGGAGGCAACUCUGAUCCAGCCAUGCCGCGUGCAGGAAGACGGUCCUAUGGAUUGUAAACUGCUUUUAUAUAGGAAGAAACCUUUCCACGUGUGGAAAGCUGACGGUACUAUAUGAAUAAGCACCGGCUAACUCCGUGCCAGCAGCCGCGGUAAUACGGAGGGUGCAAGCGUUAUCCGGAAUCAUUGGGUUUAAAGGGUCCGUAGGCGGACUAAUAAGUCAGGGGUGAAAUACCACAGCUCAACUGUGGAACUGCCUUUGAUACUGUUAGUCUUGAAUUAUAUGGAAGUAGAUAGAAUGUGUAGUGUAGCGGUGAAAUGCUUAGAGAUUACACAGAAUACCGAUUGCGAAGGCAGUCUACUACGUAUAUAUUGACGCUAAUGGACGAAAGCGUGGGGAGCGAACAGGAUUAGAUACCCUGGUAGUCCACGCCGUAAACGAUGGAAAAUAGUCUCGAUCUUCGGAUUGAGUGGCUAAGCGAAAGUGAUAAGUAUCCCACCUGGGGAGUACGUUCGCAAGAAUGAAACUCAAAGGAAUUGACGGGGGCCCGCACAAGCGGUGGAGCAUGUGGUUUAAUUCGAUGAUACGCGAGGAACCUUACCAGGGCUUAAAUGUAGCUGGACAGAUUUAGAAAUAGAUCCUCCUUCGGGCUAGUUACAAGGUGCUGCAUGGUUGUCGUCAGCUCGUGCCGUGAGGUGUCAGGUUAAGUCCUAUAACGAGCGCAACCCCUGUUGUUAGUUGCCAGCGAGUCAUGUCGGGAACUCUAACAAGACUGCCAGUGCAAACUGUGAGGAAGGUGGGGAUGACGUCAAAUCAUCACGGCCCUUACGUCCUGGGCCACACACGUGCUACAAUGGCCGGUACAGAGAGCAGCCACUACGCGAGUAGGAGCGAAUCUUCAAAACCGGGCUCAGUUCGGAUCGGAGUCGGCAACCCGACGCCGUGAAGCUGGAAUCGCUAGUAAUCGCAUAUCAGCCAUGAGGCGGUGAAUACGUUCCCGGGCCUUGUACACACCGCCCGUCAAGCCAUGGAAGCUGGGAGUACCUGAAGUCGGUGACAGCAAGGAGCCGCCUAGGGUAAAACUGGUAACUAGGGCUAAG
rnacentral:rRNA from 1 species